AAGAGGAGAGACUCCCACAUGGCAGCCCACAGCUCCUCAUGAGGGGAGUGGAGGGGAAACACUGAUCUUUGCUCUCUGAUAACAGCGACAGGACACAAGGGAAUGGCACGGAACUGUGUCAGAGGGGGUCAGGUUGGAUGUUAGGAAAAGAUUCUUUGAGAGAGGGUAAUCAGGCCUGGGAACAGCUCCUCAGGGCAGUGAUCACAGCCCCAAGCUGACGGAGUUCAAGGAGCUUUUGGACAACACUCUCAGACACAGGGUUUGAAUUUUUGGUGCUUCUCUAUUGAACCAGCAGUCAGAAUCCAUGUGGGUCCCUUCCAACACAGGAUAUUCUAUGAUUCUAUGAUUUUGUGAUAAUCUGUAAUAGAAGCACGAGGAGUAAUUUUGCAGGAUGAAGCUCUUCAGCAGAAUAUUUCUGCAUUUUCUACUUGAUAACUGUCCAGAUCAUUCUUUAAUUCAUUAUGCCAUAUGCUACAAAGUUACACUUCAUAUGGUUGUUGUGAGACCAUGUGUCCUUUUACAUAUGAGAGAUAUUCUAAUCUUGAAACUUUUCCCCAGCAAGAAUACAUUAAAGAGCUGUAGUGACUAGUAAUUAGGACAAAAAAUCAUUUUGAUCUAUGUAGUUUGCAGCAGGACUAUGGUCAUCCAAAUCCAUUCUGAUAAUCCAACAUGCUAUCAAGAGAAAUUACCUGAAUACUCCAAAAAUUGCCAAAGUCAACCUUGAAAACAGAGGAGCCUGUGAAGAAGCUUUCUUACCUAUGAACUGUUGCUGGAGAUCUUCUAGCCUGAUGUUUCUCAUGCUGUUGAUAAUUUUUUAUGGCUCUUUGACAAAAGCUUCAUAAAACUCAGAACACUGAUUUCUGCUUUCUUGCAUCCCUUCCUAUUACACAUUUCCAAAAUAUGUUCUGAUGUGUAAGGAAAUAAUUAACAAUGCUGAUAUUUAAAGUACUGUAACUAGUGCCUGGGUAAACAUCACUAGGAUGAAGCAGGAAUCAGUGUAGCAUGGCUAUUGUCUCAGACUUUCUGUCUGCUUAGUCAAUUGUAUUUGCAUGUAUCAGUUCUGUUUCUUGUUUUAAAUAUUUUCUUUGCAACUGAAGCUGACAGCUGUGCUUCAAAACAUUAAACAAAGCUUCAA